GUUAAUCUUUUAUUCUUUUAUUCUUUUAUUUUUUAUUCUAUGAACCUCAGUUACAUGUACCAACUGAUAGAUAAUAUAUUGUGUCAAUAUUUAUUAAUUAUUUUUUUCAAAAACUUAUUUUUUUUAUGAACUCAUAUACCUCGAUUUUCCUCGAAAUCUGACGUGAAAGAUCUUUUAAUUGAGUUCCCAGAAUAUGGCGUUAUAACACUUUUACUUUUUAUUGUAAUUUUAGUUAAUGAAUACACGCCGGUUUUCUCUAAAAACUGACAUGAGAUUAUUUUGCAUGAAAUAAUUCAAAGAAUUAGUCUCUAACUUUUGUUUACCUAUCAACGCUCUA
rnacentral:lncRNA from 1 species